AUGAACGCUGGCGGCGUGCCUAAUACAUGCAAGUCGAGCGAACGGACGAGAAGCUUGCUUCUCUGAUGUUAGAGGCGGACGGGUGAGUAACACGUGGAUAACCUACCUAUAAGACUGGGAUAACUUCGGGAAACCGUAGCUAAUACCGGAUAAUAUUUUGAACCGCAUGGUUCAAAAGUGAAAGACGGUCUUGCUGUCACUUAUAGAUGGAUCCGCGCUGCAUUAGCUAGUUGGUAAGGUAACGGCUUACCAAGGCAACGAUGCAUAGCCGACCUGAGAGGGUGAUCGGCCACACUGGAACUGAGACACGGUCCAGACUCCUACGGGAGGCAGCAGUAGGGAAUCUUCCGCAAUGGGCGAAAGCCUGACGGAGCAACGCCGCGUGAGUGAUGAAGGUCUUCGGAUCGUAAAACUCUGUUAUUAGGGAAGAACAUAUGUGUAAGUAACUGUGCACAUCUUGACGGUACCUAAUCAGAAAGCCACGGCUAACUACGUG
rnacentral:rRNA from 1 species